rnacentral:rRNA from 1 species
GACGGAGGGGGCAAGCGUUGUCCGGAAUCACUGGGCGUAAAGGGCGCGUAGGUGGCUUCGUGCGUCGGUGCUGAAAGCGCCGGGCUUAACCCGGCGAGGCGUGCCGAUACGACGAGGCUUGAAUUCGGGAGAGGGAUGCAGAAUUCCAGGUGUAGCGGUGAAAUGCGUAGAUAUCUGGAGGAAUACCGGUGGCGAAGGCGGCAUCCUGGACCGAGAUUGACGCUGAACGGCGAAAGCUAGGGGAGCAAACGGG